rfam:Oryza meridionalis cultivar OR44 (W2112) chromosome 7, whole genome shotgun sequence.
UAUAAGUGUUGUUGUGGGUUUCCGUGACCAACGUUAGAUCGUCCGUCUUAUAUGAAAACAAUUUAUGAUUAGUAUUUUUAUUGUUAUAAUUAUAUGAUAAAACAUAAUAGUACUUUAUGUGUGAUUAAAACUUUUUUAAAUAAAAUAAACAGUCAAAUAUUAGACACGAAAAAAACUACAGUUAUA